GACGAACGCUGGCGGCGUGCUUAACACAUGCAAGUCGAACGGAAAGGCCCUGCUUUUGUGGGGUGCCCGAGUGGCGAACGGGUGAGUAACAUGUGAGUAACCUGCCCUUGACUUUGGGAUAACUUCAGGAAACUGGGGCUAAUACCGGAUAGGAGCUCCUGCUGCAUGGUGGGGGUUGGAAAGUUUCGGCGGUUGGGGAUGGACUCGCGGCUUAUCAGCUUGUUGGUGGGGUAGUGGCUUACCAAGGCUUUGACGGGUAGUCGGCCUGGGAGGGUGACCGGCGACAUUGGGACUGAGAUACGGCCCAGACUCCUACGGGAGGCAGCAGUGGGGAAUAUUGCACAAUGGGCGGAAGCCUGAUGCAGCAACGCCGCGUGCGGGAUGACGGCCUUCGGGUUGUAAACCGCUUUCGCCUGUGACGAAGCGUGAGUGACGGUAAUGGGUAAAGAAGCACCGGCUAACUACGUG
rnacentral:rRNA from 1 species